ACUAAGUUUGUAGGACAAAUUACAAACAUACGAUUUCAAGUGGUGUUUUGAGGAUCUGUGUUUGUUCGUCAGAAAGUUUGCACGACUAUUGCUGAGGAAAUGCAGAAUGUGCACGAAUUGGGUCAAGCCUACAAAAUAAAUAAGGUACUGUGAAGUAACACGAAGUGAGUUUUAUGCUGAUCCGAAUGCCUGUGGUCCUCCACGCACUCCAGAGACAUAUGACGCGGCUGUUGCUGAUCUCCAGUCUGAAACUAUCCAAGACGUCAGAGGAAUAAAGGUGGCAUUUCUUCUUCAGUGCAAGUAUGAGUGACUCAGAGCGAACCUUCCUAGAUGUCGCCAUCACGGAAGUCCUACCAGAACUUCAAGCGGUGAACAAAAACAUCCUGGAAGAGCACUUGCAGUCCAUUGGAGUUGAGACAAGUGAUGAUCUACUCUUCGUAACGGAGGCAGAUUUGAUGACAGUAUUAAGACCUGUACAAGCAAGAAAGCUUCUUUCUGCUUGGAAACAGAAAUACCAAACUCCAGAGAACAGCUCACUGUCAUCUGUGGAAGCCUCAUCCACCCAGUCGCUGUCAUUGCUCUCUAUUUCACCCCAAAGUCUAUCGUCGACCUCCUCCAGCA